ensembl:snoRNA SNORA63 Small nucleolar RNA SNORA63
AAGCAAGAUUCAGACUACAAUAUAGCUGUUAAGGGCUAUGUCGUCAUUUCCCCUACUCAAAAUAAAGUUGUUUCUUAACUAUACCUCUCUGCUUAUUCCCUCAGCAGCCAGGGAUGCUUGGUCUCAUACAU